UGUAACAGCAACUCCAUGUGGAAGGUUUGUGUCUUCCAGUGGAGCUGCUGUUGCGUG
ensembl:miRNA mir194a microRNA 194a